GGGAUUUCCUCUCUCCACUUCAUGAAUCAUAAACUUGUUCUUGAAUCUAAAACCCUAAUCUCUAAUCUCUUGUUCUCCUAAUCUCUCAGUCUCUUAAUCUCUGUUCCUAAGUCUCUUAUUCUCUCAUAAACACUCUCAUCAAUCUCUCUUUCUAAAUCACCUAGAGCAAGCUCUCAUCUUUCUCCAUUGGAGUUUAUACACACACACAUACAACCAGAGAAGAGAACUCUACAAAUCUCAUACCUUUUUCCACGAUUAACCUAGGGGUUUUCUGCGGUUUUUGGGAGAACCAGUUUUACCCUUCCGAAAUGUUUUCGGAAAAUGUGUUUUGGUAAUGAGCCAAACUUACGGGGUUUGAUAAGAUUUAUCGUUUCCCUUUAUGUUUAGAAAGAGAUUCGCGAGCUCGUUUCAUUUCACUUCCUGUGGCGAAAAGUCGCAACAAGGUUUUCGAUUUUCUCAAGAACUGUGGCGUUUGCGUAGGCGUUGGCCAUAGGUGCAGUGGCGGCUGGGGUUGUCUUACCAGUGUUAUUGCGAACUGCGAUUUUCUCUUUCGUAUUUCCAGACAUUGUUUUGAUCAAGCGUUUUGUGGCUGAGAGUUAGAUUGAUCCGUACCCCC
rnacentral:lncRNA from 1 species